rnacentral:rRNA from 1 species
ACCAAGGCAAAGAUCGGUAGCCGGCCUGAGAGGGCACACGGCCACACUGGCACUGAAACACGGGCCAGACUCCUACGGGAGGCAGCAGUGGGGAAUCUUGCACAAUGGGGGAAACCCUGAUGCAGCGACGCCGCGUGAGCGAUGAAGCCCUUCGGGGUGUAAAGCUCUUUCGGCAGGGACGAUAAUGACGGUACCUGCAGAAGCAGCUGCGGCUAACUACGUGCCAGCAGCCGCGGUAAUACGUAGGCAGCAAGCGUUGUUCGGAGUUACUGGGCGUAAAGGGUGUGUAGGCGGCUUUUUAAGUUUGGUGUGAAAUCUCCCGGCUCAACUGGGAGGGUGCGCCGAAUACUGAAAGACUAGAGUGCGGGAGAGGAAAGUGGAAUUCCUGGUGUAGCGGUGAAAUGCGUAGAUAUCAGGAGGAACACCGGUGGUGUAGACGGCUUUCUGGACCGUAACUGACGCUGAGACACGAAAGCGUGGGUAGCAAACAGGAUUAGAUACCCUGGUAGUCCACGCCCUAAACGAUGCAUAUUUGGUGUGGGCAGUUCAUUCUGUCCGUGCCGGAGCUAACGCGUUAAAUAUGCCGCCUGGGGAGUACAGUCGCAAGGC